CAGAUUUAGAUGAAAUUGCUACAUUCCUGUGAAGCAUUUCCAUCUCCAUUUCACUGGAUCACUAAUUUGCUACAGAAAACUGUUCCAUCAGAAAAAAAUUGAUUAGCCCUGCUUGGGGCUUUGCAGAGGCUUUUGAAAAGAUCAGCUGGAGCACUGGGAAAGCAUGAACUUCAAUCUUCAGAGCAUGCAAGCAACAAGGCAUCAGCCGUCAGAGUGACACAAGCAGCAAUUUCCUUUGCAACAUUGAAGAUGCCGGGUGAGGGUUUACAACAGCAGUGCACUGUGUUAAGCAAAGCAGUAGAAGACAGACAGCCUGGAGAAGAGACAGCCUGUGACGUAAGUGCCCUGGACCUUUCCAUUGAACUUCUAGUUCUUGGCAGCAGCUGAAACUUGGAACGUACUCAAAAGCUGCUUUGGAGUUUCCAUGCAAGAAUACGGUUUUUGUCCCUGUUUCCAAAUCUCCCAUUGCAGUCGGGGGUCCAUUA